CCCAGGAAGUAAUUGCAGGUUUAGGAAUUAAACCGUCACGUUUAUGCCAGUUACACCUGAGGAGACAUGAACAUACAAGUUAAUAAUUUGUAUCUGCUUACCAUGAAAAUCUUAGCCCUUAAAAUGAAGCUGCCAUUUGAAGGAAGAAUCUUGCUCAAGUAAGCAAGGACUGCGGUGAGCAUCCACUCCGGCUGUGGAAACCGCGCUGGCAUGAGCAGAUGUUAACAAUAAGAAAGCCACUGUGCAGCAGCGGGAGAAGCAAGAGGAUUACUGUGGCCGCUGAUAGACGAUGGAUAAUGGAUGCUGCGUUCAAAGACAGAUUUAUGCUGCGCUGAGGUGUGCAAAGAGGUGCGUCGUGUACAAGAUGACAGCCGGGCUUAUCUCCCCUUGUGUGGUUCUCAUGCGCUGAAUGCCUGACGGCCUCCACGACAUGCAAAAUGGGACAAUUUGUGUACCGCACAAGAGACACUUUGAAGAAGCAUGGAGCUAAAACUUGGCAGAUCAAAGCCAAGAUGGCUGACAAGCGGAGGGAGAUGACGACCUCGGGGAGCACUCGCACACAUUCACGCAAAUCCUACCGAGACAACCAUUUUAUCUUCGCACAAUAAACGUCUUAAUUGCACAUAAUCACACAUGACAACUUGAAAACGGACACGCAGGCUGACUAAAAGAGAGACCAGGUGUGUUUAACGUAUGCAGACAACUUCCAUGUUGGAUAAUUAUUAGUGCAUUCAUGUUUUAGCUGUCACCAAGUUAUUGCAGCAUAACUGCUGUUAGAUCAGGGAGGUCCGAACUUAGUCAAAAAUGAAAGGAAAACCCACGCACGCAUGGGGAGAACAUGCAAACUCCACAUAGAGAUGCCCAACUGGAGAUUUGAACCCAGGUCUUCCAGACUAGGUCUCCUGACUAUGUGGUCAACAUGCUAACCACUAGGCCACUGUGCAGUCAAAAUUCAGUUCUCGUGUGUCCAAGGAUAUACAUUGUACACAAUUAAACAAAGUAUAAGACAACUGAAAAAUAUAAUUGUCAUCAUAGCUGUAUGGAUCUGAUACUGUACUGUAUACUACCAUGGUAAUAGCGAUGUUUAGAUAAUCUGACCACCUCUGCUAUCUAACAUGGCCUUUGUCGCAGGUUAGGACACAGUAACAGCCAUUUUUCAUGAGACAACCCCCCCUCCCCGGGUUCAAAUGUGGGUGGUCGAGGGUGAGGGCCAGGAAAUGGCCGUCCCUUAAAUGGCUUGUAAAAAAGU